ACUACUGAGGAGUCCCAUAAUAGGACGAAACGCGCGUCCUGAAU
rnacentral:hammerhead_ribozyme from 1 species